UUGUGAUCAAAGUGGACAGCACACAUGGGUGUCAUUGAACUGACAGUGACAUUGAACUAACAGUGAUUUGUAGUUGAUGAUCAGAAGAUCAUGGUGUAUAUCUGUGCAGAACACUACUGGGUGUCUCCCAUCAGUGGGGCGUGUCAGUUCAUAAUGGGCAUUUUCACCACUUUACCCACUUUUCUAAUCCACUGCGGGCUUGGUUUAAGGGUGGGCCUUCAUGGUUUUAGUAAGUCUGUUGAAAAAUGGUUAAAAAAAAAAAUAUCUAUUGUAGUUUGAAAUUGGCCACUGAUUGGAAAACACCCAUUUUGGUUUUGCAUGUGCACUUCUCAGUUGUUUAAUUGAUGCUUCUUCAUUAGAAAGAAAGCACAGGUGCAUCCAACAUUGAAAUUUUGAUGAAAACCAAGAGCCAAAAUAUGGGUGAUGAUGUGGGUGAUUAAAAAGUGCAUCUCAAGUUUGUCUUUAGCCUUGAUUAAUAAAAUUCCAACAAUAUUUAGCUGAUCUCUAGAAGCCCAUGAGCAUGAAUAUUAAACUUUACAUAGCCUAUGUUUCUGUUACUCUUUGCAUUUACUCCAAGGCCUUCAGUAGGAGGAGUUAAGGCUGAUGAGGUUGGAUAAUUAGAGAAAUGAGAAGCACACCAUUAAUGAUGGUGACAUUGAUCAUACAUUGAGUUGCAGUCCACAGCAACUGCUUGACAUAAGAUUUGGUUUUAUCUUCUAUCUCCUGCUUGCAGCUUUAUCAGGUAAACAUUCAUAUUCCUCAAAGAGUGUAAAAUUUGCUGUAUGUAACUUCAUGGUAAAACUCAAAAUCAAAUAAAUUUUCAUGUGAUCUUCAAAGAGAUUAAUUGGUUUGCAUUAGAUAAAUCUGCAGCUUUAAUGAAAUUGCUUUAAUUGAAAAUAAUUAAGCUGUUCUUAUAAGCUAAACACAGAAGACUUGUAGUUUCUUGGUAAAUUACUUGGUAAAUUACUUACCAAUUCUUGGUAAAUUAGUUGCCAUAUAAUUUACAAGCUGUCAACAUACUGAAGUCCUGCAUAUUAUAGAGCUUCCAUUUACAAACGUUUAUUGCACAAAAUAUAAAAGAUAUUGAAGCACUAAAAGAUUAAAAAAAAUCAAUGAUACUAAAAUCCUGUUCUAAAUAACUGUUUUCAUAAAUUGUAAAAAGGAAAUGUUAUGUUUAUGUUGGUAUGUGUGUGAAUGGUAUGUGUGUAAAUGGUAUGUGACUGUAUGUAUGUACAGUUAUGUAUGAGAAUUUAAUUGACUUGCUUUUAAGCAAUAUCGUGCUUGCUUCUUCAGAGAACCCAAAAGAAAAGAGGCACAAUCUGACAUACAAUAAGCCAGUUUUUAAAAACUUGAACUGUUGCACCACUGGUAGCAAUAAUGACUUAACGGUGGUCAAAGAGGCGUAAAUUGAAAUCAACGAUUUCAGAAAGUAAGAAAUACUACAACAAUUUAAUGAAACCAGUUCACAAAAUUCUGUCACAAGAAAACCAUGUUGGAGCAGGAAAAAAAUAUGCAGAGUACCCUAAAGUGGUUAUAGAGUCAGCUCUUUCAGAUUGUAAUGAUUCAGUCACAGAGAAUUCCCUGGUGGGGUAUCUGAUGAGGUUCUGUUGCAUCCAACCAAUAUACAUGAUGUUAAUAAUGAUACAGUCAACUCAUCAGAUUUUGACUCUGAUACUGAAUCAGAAGCUCCAAUGAGUGAGUUUCUUUUAAGGAGUUUGUGGUAUUGGGCCUCUACAUCCUCAGUCUCACUUGCUGCACUCGGUGCCCUUUUAAGUAUUCUGCGAAUGUUUCAUCCAGUAUUGCUCACAGAUGCCAGGACAGUUCUUAAGACCCAAACUCAUGUAUCUACCAAAAAGAUGGAAGGUGGGGAGUAUUAUCAUUUUGGCUUGGCAAAGGGGACAGUGUCACGUUUGAAAAACUUGAUCCUGCCUGAACAAUUGCAAACAGUUAAAUUGGCUUCCACUUUUCAAAAGCUGUACACUUCAGUUCUGGCCAAUUCUUGCCAUUGUCAAUUGUGACUAUACCAAACAUCCCUUCUUCAUUUUCCUUUACUGUGGUAUGAAAAAGCCCAAGUGCAUAUUUGAGUUCUUAAAGCAAUUUAUUGACGAUUUAGCUGAUGUUCUUCUGCAUGGUAUUGUUUACAAUGGUCAAAACGUAUUAGUACAAGUAUGCUCUUUUGUGUGUGAUGCCCCUGCCAGAGCUUUUGUUAAAAAUAUAAAAUAUCUCACAAUGGCUACCUGGACUGUGACAAAUGUGUUCAAGUGGUUGAGUGGCAAAAUAAAAUGACAUACCCAGAAAGUGAUGCAAAGUUGAGGACUGAUUCUGAUUUUAAUGAUAUGAUUGAUGAAGACCACCACUUGAACCAAAAACUUUCUCCUUUAGCUGGCUUGGUAAAAAUGGUUAUCAUGUUUCCAUUAGAUUAUAUGCAUUUAUGCUGUCUAGGAGUCACUAGGAAACGUUUGGAUCAGAGGUAAAGCACAUAUCACUAGGUGGUCCACUCAAACUGUAGCUGAAAGUUCUGAAAAGUUAAAGCUGCAGAGUCCCUACACGCCUGUUGAGUUUAGCCAGAAACCAAGAGGGUUAUCAGAAAUUGACCGCUGGAUAACGACUGACCUGUUGUGCUUCAGAAUUGCAUUCAAAUGCAGAUGUAUGAGAACUUUAUGUUGUUUCUAUUGCUAUGCAUUUGCUUUUAUCCUCUGGAACCCCAGAGGCGAUGAUUGAUUGUACUCAUGAAUUUCUUGUCUCUUUUGUAUGCCACUUUGGACAACUAUAUAUGGUAGACAUGAAAUAGUCUACAAUAUACACCAACUGACUCAUCUGGCUGAAGAGUAUCGUCUCUUUGGACCUUUGGAUAAUGUGUCAGCAUUUCCUUUUGAGUGUUAUUUAGGACAAAUAAAACAUCAUUUGCACAAGCCUCACUUACCCUUACAGUAAGUUGUGAAAAGGUUAUCUGAAAUGCAAAAUCCAGAGUCACCAAAGCCUCACAAGUGCAACUUAAGUCAACCACAUUUUGAUGGUCCAGUGCUCCAUAGCCUAAGUCUUGGCAAACAGUUCAGAAAAGUGGUCACAGAAAUGUACACUCUAUAGUGCAAGGAGAUAAUUGUGUGCAAAUAGUUGGCCACAUUGCUAUUUUAAGAAAUAUCAUUAAUGUAGAUGGGGUAGGGAUUUUUGUCCUAUUUCAAAAGUUUAUUCAUCAAGAAUCAUUCUUCUCCUACCCGUUUGAGUCAACCAGCAUAGGUUGUUAUAAAGUGUGGGAGGUGCAUGACAAUCUUGAUGUGGCCAGACUCCAAGAUAUUAAGCUGAAAUAUUUCCUCUGUCCUGACAAAAAUGUCUUCAUUGCCAUGCCACUCAUUCAUAUAACAUAAUGAAUUGUUUGUAGAUUACAACAUGCUUUUGCUGUUGUAAGAGAAGCUUGUACAUAACAUAAUUAGUUCCUAAUUUUUAAUUUUUUUUUCUAUCUCUCCAAGGGAAAGUUUAAAUUUGCAUUCUUGUAUUGUAGGGAAGUUAUUUUGUUAAAAAAAAAAAUGAAGCAGUGGUGCAUAAUUCAGUUUCAAAAUGGUGGCACAGAAAUUGUGCCACACAGCUGGCUGAAUGGAAAGAAUCUUCUAUGCCCACCAUAUCCACCCAAAGACACAGCCAAGGUACGGGCUGCAGUUGAAAAAUAUGAGCUGCCUGCUGAGGAGUAGUUGUCCUAUGAACCUGUUAGACACCUUGUAAGUCGAGGUAAGUGUAUAAAUUCAAAUUAAGCAUCAAUUAAGUAUAAGGUGGAAUUAAAUUGGGUACUUUACAGUUAUUACACUCACAAAAUUUAACUUGCAGCCACAUAUGAAGAAGCUGAGAAGAGUUUGAAAAGAUACCUACAGGCCAAGGUGACCAGGUGUCAGGGAUCAGCGCGGACUUUUGGACACAUGCUAAUGUUUUUGUUAUUGUCACGUGUCUGCCCCGCCUUCGUCUGCUCCUCCCUGUCUCCUCAAAUGUUCCCCAUCAUGUGAUUGACUUGUGUGUGUAUAUAUAUGUGAGCCGCGUUGUCGAUGGCAGGGCGGAUUCAUUAGUUUAGUUUACGUUAGUUCUCCGUAUCCGGGGGCCUGACAGAAUGAAUCCACCUUUAGAUCCUGCGUACGGGUCUGUCUCCUUCCUUCCAUAUCCGGGGGCCUGACACCAGGCCAGACCCAAUCCUGUUUACAACAAAACAUCUGAUAAAGAAGACAAAGUUAAAAAAGAAAGCUCUGCCCAGCUCCUAGACUUCUAUUUCCAGGCUCCUGUUCAAUCAGCUUCCAGAGUCAAGUCCUCUGUCCAGCCUUCUAUCAAAAUUCUGCCUAACUAUCCUUUGGAGUCCUCUGACCAGAUGUGCAUCACUUCUCUAUACUUGACUGAGUCAAGCGACUCAUCAGCCCUGUUUGCCAUGGACCCCAGCCAGGAACCAUCUUCCAAGGAUCAAGAGGAUGCAAGUGAUUCUGUAAGACAGUUAAUGAAAGG